GCCCCCUGGCGACAGGAGGGGCUCGGUGCAGGCUAAUCCACGCGCGGAGUCCAGGGUCCCUCUACAGCGGUUUCCCUGGGAACCACUCUGGCUGGAAAUCCUGUGGCUGCCUUUGGAGGAUGUGAACUCUCCUGGGAUGGACCAGAAGUGCUCUGCGCUCUGCUAUUAACCCCAUGAAAAGAGUUCUUUCCAGAUAAGCGGAUACUUGCGGCUGCGUGGAGUGGAUCCCAGUCCCAGUUUGCUACCAGCAAUCCCAACCCAAGACACAGAUGAGCAUUGUCUGGGAAAGCACACUGUCGUCACCUGCCUCCCCCAUCCCGGUCCCCACCACUCUCUGACUGAUGCCAUCGCCUAGAUGAUAAAGCGCCCGUCACUCAAGCACAGAAGUCGAAAUUCAUAGUUCAUUUCUUUACUUAUGUAAGAUCAUUCACUGACAAAAGAACUCAAAUGGAAAGGCUUUGGGCAUAUGCAGAAACGGGGAGAAAAAAAUAAUCUCUCCGAGUCAGAAGCCUCGGGGGAGCAUAGCAAGACUUAUCAAAGUUACAGUGCUCCAUUUGGAAAGCGCCAACCGCCAGCCCUCGGGCGAGGUGCAGUGGUGCAUAAUUAAUGUAGUCCCAGACACAGGUCACUGAAGUGCCCCACAGGUGUGUGCCUGGUUUUCAAUAAGGCCUUUCCCUCGGAACUCCUCUUCCGACUUUGAGUUUGUGCUCCCGGAAGCCUUGCACGAUCGGGAGAAUUCAGAAGAACGAUCUGAAUGCCCAUCAAUAGAAAAUGGCAAGAAAUUACGGCAGAUCUAGUCUCUGGAAUCCUAGGUAUUUGGGGAAAAGAAGCAAGCUGGGUCCCAAAACACUGAUAUAGAAAAGUGGCUGUAGUUUUUGUUGUUGGUGUUGUUUUGUUUUUGCUUUUCAUCAGGAAGGCAAAUAGAAAAAGGUUCACAAUAUUCCAUUUUUUGCAAGACUUCCAUUUUUCAAGUAAGUCUUUGUCCUGAAGGUCACACCAAUGCCCUCAUUAUAUAUGCCCUUCCUGCAAUAUGUGGCUUUUCUGGGUUUCCUGAGCAGGCUGCAGUUUGAGUUUGAACCCUGGGCCUACAGGUGCACAGAUGCUAUCAGCAUUGAUUUGUCCCUCUCGAGACUUUCCAGAUUUGGAGACGUGCCACGCAGUGGAGCGUGAUGACUGUCCAAGAGCUGUUAAGGAGCUACCUCGUGCCCCCGACCACAACCCCCUGCGCGCGCCCCCUGGCGGGGAAGAGGCUUGGCCCCCAUGGGAUAUCAGAAGCAGGAGAACCCUAAGAAAGCGCCCCUCCCUCUGUGCUUGAGGAGACUACUCCGAAGUGGGAUUUCUUCCCGCAAACUUUUCCAGAAGAAUCCGGCGUGAGAAGUAGACACACCUGCUGAAACCGGCCAGCACAGCUACGCAUCCCAUCACUUCAUUGUUUCUGGAUUAACUUCCGGUUGUUUUGUUUUAUUUAACUUUCUCCUUCACCAGCCUUGCUUGCUUUUCCCAAAUAAAGUGGACCCCGAUAAUCC
rnacentral:lncRNA from 1 species